GACGAACGCUGGCGGCGUGCCUAAUACAUGCAAGUAGGACGCACAGUCUAUACCGUAGCUUGCUACACCAUAGGCUGUGAGUUGCGAACGGGUGAGUAACGCGUAGGUAACCUGCCUAUUAGAGGGGGAUAACUAUUGGAAACGAUAGCUAAUACCGCAUAACAGUAUGUAACACAUGUUAGAUGCUUGAAAGAUGCAAUUGCAUCGCUAGUAGAUGGACCUGCGUUGUAUUAGCUAGUAGGUAGGGUAAUGGCCUACCUAGGCGACGAUACAUAGCCGACCUGGGAAGGUGAUCGGCCACACUGGGACUGGGACACGGCCCAGACUCCUACGGGAGGCAGCAGUAGGGAAUCUUCGGCAAUGGGGGGAACCCUGACCGAGCAACGCCGCGUGAGUGAAGGAGGGUUUCGGAUCGGAAAGCUCUGUUGUUAAGGAAGAACGAGUGUGAGAAUGGAAAGUUCAUACUGUGACGGUACUUAACCAGAAAGGGACGGCUAACUACGUG
rnacentral:rRNA from 1 species